UACAGAGGGGGCAAGCGUUGUUCGGAAUUACUGGGCGUAAAGGGCGCGUAGGCGGCCUCUUAAGUCGAACGUGAAAUCCCCGGGCUCAACCCGGGAACUGCGUCCGAUACUGGGGGGCUUGAAUCCGGGAGAGGGAUGUGGAAUUCCAGGUGUAGCGGUGAAAUGCGUAGAUAUCUGGAGGAACACCGGUGGCGAAGGCGGCAUCCUGGACCGGUAUUGACGCUGAGGCGCGAAAGCCAGGGGAGCAAACAGG
rnacentral:rRNA from 1 species